UCCUCCCUCGACUCUCAGCGUUCCUUGACUUUUUGGUCUGGCUCGCUUUUUGUUUUGAGCCAGGUGCACAACAGAUAAUACAAAACCUUGUAAGAGGAGAAUUAGUCCCGGAGAGGUAAAGUGACUUUCCGAGGGUAUGAAGUUCCCAAAUAAGGUGCAGAAGAAGCCAAAAUAAUCAUUCACUAAGGGGGAAGUCAGCUGCCAUGUUGAGAGGAUACUCAGGCAACCUGUGGAGAAGUGAGACUGGGGUCUCCUGCCGACAUCCAUGUACGUGAGCCGUCUUAGAAAUAGAUCCUCCAGCCCCAGUCAAGGCUUCAGAUGACUGCUGCUCCAGUCAACUAAGCUGCUUCUAAAUUUCUAAUUCACAGGAACCAUCAGAUAAUAAAUGUUUAGUAUUUUAAGCUGUUAAAUUUUGAGGUAAUUUGUUUUAUGACAAUAGAUAACAAAUAUA